GUCCAUCAUGGCCCAUACAACGGCCACCAGCUCCAGUGUUUGCAAUGAGCCCUUAUCAUCGGCUGCAAUGAGGUGAUGUCCCCAGCAUCCUGUAGCUCCGGGCUAUGCUGCACAUACCACGUCAGAGUGUCCUUCUGCAUUGGCAGCUGUACACACACAGGCUCCAUACCUGUGAUCUGCAGGAUUGUGCCAACGCUCCUAAAAGGCUGGGCCGGGUCAGUGCCCCGUAACAAAGGUCGCAACGACUCUAAGGGUUCGUUUGGGAUGCCCACCACAGGGCGCAGCCACUGCCUCCCCUGGGUUCUCAGUCUCCAAAAGUCCGUGACAGGACCCCCAUCACCUUCCCAGGACCCCC
ensembl:lncRNA